rnacentral:rRNA from 1 species
UACGGAGGGAGCUAGCGUUGUUCGGAUUUACUGGGCGUAAAGGGCACGUAGGCGGAUCGAUCAGUCAGGGGUGAAAUCCCAGGGCUCAACCCUGGAACUGCCUUUGAUACUGCCGAUCUGGAGUAUGGGAGAGGUGAGUGGAAUUCCGAGUGUAGAGGUGAAAUUCGUAGAUAUUCGGAGGAACACCAGUGGCGAAGGCGGCUCACUGGUCCAUUACUGACGCUGAGGUGCGAAAGCGUGGGGAGCAAACAGG